rnacentral:tRNA from 1 species
GCGCCCGUAGCUCAAUUGGAUAGAGCGUCUGACUACGGAUCAGAAGGUUGUGGGUUCGAUUCCCUCCGGGCGUA